AAUAGUCAGUUUUACUAGUUUGUUAGUUGUUAAGCAAAAAUAGCCACAACUUGUGAUGUAUAUAAAUAACUACUUUGAAUGUGAAAUAUAUAACCAAUAUUGUUGGUGAAAUUUCAAGUGAGAAUCACACAAGUGAUCCAUUUUAUUCAACAACCUCUCUCCCCAUCUCUCUUUCUCUCUCCAAAACUUUCUCAAACAACUUUCUAUUUUCUUUUUUUAUUGAAUUGGACAAGGAUGACAUACUAUGUCUUGUGUUUAAUAUAAACAUGAGG
rnacentral:lncRNA from 1 species